rnacentral:rRNA from 1 species
CCUACGGGAGACAGCAGUGGGGAAUAUUGCACAAUGGGCGAAAGCCUGAUGCAGCAACGCCGCGUGAGCGAUGAAGGCCUUCGGGUCGUAAAGCUCUGUCCUCAAGGAAGAUAAUGACGGUACUUGAGGAGGAAGCCCUGGUUAACUACGGGCCAGCAGCCGCGGUAAUACGUCGGGGGCUAGCGUUAUCCGGAAUUACUGGGCGUAAGGGGGGCGUAGGUGGUUUCUUAAGUCAGAGGGGAAAGGCUACGGCUCAACCGUAGAAAGUCUUUGAAACUGGGGAACUUGAGUGCAGGAGAGGAGAGUGGAAUUCCUGGUGUAGCGGUGAAAUGCGUAGAUAUUAGGAGGAACACCAGUGGCGAAGGCGGCUCUCUGGACUGUAACUGACACUGAGGCACGAAAGCGUGGGGAGCAAACAGGAUUAGAUACCCUUGUAGUC